AGUGAGCUCCCUGUCCUUAAAGACUGCAGCAGCAGAGGGCGCUGCUGGCUCAGUCAUCCAGCCCCGUGGUCUGACAGAGUUGGACAGGAUGCUGCUGUUUUUCUUCCUCUGCAUGGCAGCUCCAGCUCCUCGGGCCGACGUGGUUUGUAGGAGUACAGGACGGCACACCUGAGGAAACACACAGAGGAGAGGCGGCAGAAACAUUCCCAGCACCUAUUAUCUCCACUGUGACGUCUACAGAGGGUUGCUGCUAUUUACAGCACCACCACUCAACAACUGGCCUGUGGGCCUGGGGUUCCCUCUAUACAGCAUGUGCCUGGAUCCUGCAGCUCUGCCACUGUCAAGGCUGCAAUGCAUUCACACUGUACCUCAGAGAAGCACAAAAGGAGUCCUAAUUAAGAGGAAGCCAUCACUUUCAGCACAGCAUCACUUGACAAAGGCAGCGCAGUGAGGCAGAAGUAAA